GAUGAACGCUGGCGGCGUGCCUAAUACAUGCAAGUCGAGCGAACGGACGAGAAGCUUUCUUCUCUGAUGUUAGCGGCGGACGGGUGAGUAACACGUGGAUAACCUACCUAUAAGACUGGGAUAACUUCGGGAAACCGGAGCUAAUACCGGAUAAUAUUUUGAACCUCAUGGUUCAAAAGUGAAAGACGGUCUUUCUGUCACUUAUAGAUGGAUCCGCGCUGCAUUAGCUAGUUGGUAAGGUAACGGCUUACCAAGGCAACGAUGCAUAGCCGACCUGAGAGGGUGAUCGGCCACACUGGAACUGAGACACGGUCCAGACUCCUACGGGAGGCAGCAGUAGGGAAUCUUCCGCAAUGGGCGAAAGCGUGACGGAGCAACGCCGCGUGAGUGAUGAAGGUCUUAGGAUCGUAAAACUCUGUUAUUAGGGAAGAACAUAUGUGUAAGUAACUGUGCACAUAUUGACGGUACCUAAUCAGAAAGCCACGGCUAACUACGUG
rnacentral:rRNA from 1 species